rnacentral:tRNA from 1 species
AAGACUUUAGUUUAAUAAAAGCAUCUGGGUUGCAUUCAGAAGAUGUAAGAUAAAGUCUUGCAAGUUUUA